CGCAGGGAGUAGUUUAAGUAGAAU
rnacentral:tRNA from 1 species